AUGUUUCGGAAAACUGACCUCACCAUCCGACUCGCCGCUCUCCGAUCCGGCCACCGCCCUUUCGCUUGCCGCCAGCAGCCGCUCCACGCGCCCCCACGCGCCAUCACUGUUCCCGCACGUGGGCCUCACGUGCCGCCGUCCUUCCCGCGCGUCUGUCACCCGAUCCGGCCGUUUUUUCGGCCGCCCCACUCGGUUUUCUCACUGGUCAGGGAUCCGGUCUCGAUUUUUCUUUUCGAAACUCGGAAAUCUGCAUCUAGUUCAAACAACCCCGUUUGUUGUGUCUUUAAGUCAUGGGAGAUGCUGAUUCUGUCUCGUUUACAAAAGUUCUCCUUAUCCCAUGUGAAAAAUUAA